GCAGGGGUUUAUCUGGGUAUUUUGGGAAAAAGGACCCUGGCCAGUUUUGGGAAUUUUUUAGCGCUGUUUUCAAUGAAAUUGGGAAAAACAACCAAUAUAUCAGAUGCUAGUUUUAGUGUGUUUAGUUCAUUAAAUUUGUUUUUAAAUAUAACAACAUGGCAUUAAAGUUUAUUUGAGUAUCAAAAUAAUGAGUUCUAACUUUUUAAAGGAUUG
rnacentral:lncRNA from 1 species